GUGGGGAAUAUUGGACAAUGGGCGAAAGCCUGAUCCAGCAAUGCCGCGUGAGUGAUGAAGGCCUUAGGGUUGUAAAGCUCUUUUACCAGGGAUGAUAAUGACAGUACCUGGAGAAUAAGCUCCGGCUAACUCCGUGCCAGCAGCCGCGGUAAUACGGAGGGAGCUAGCGUUGUUCGGAAUUACUGGGCGUAAAGCGCACGUAGGCGGUUACUCAAGUCAGAGGUGAAAGCCUGGGGCUCAACCCCGGAACUGCCUUUGAAACUAGGUAACUAGAAUCUUGGAGAGGUCAGUGGAAUUCCGAGUGUAGAGGUGAAAUUCGUAGAUAUUCGGAAGAACACCAGUGGCGAAGGCGACUGACUGGACAAGUAUUGACGCUGAGGUGCGAAAGCGUGGGGAGCAAACAGGAUUAGAAACCCGGGUAGUCC
rnacentral:rRNA from 1 species